AGAGUUUGAUCCUGGCUCAGAUUGAACGCUGGCGGCAUGCCUUACACAUGCAAGUCGAACGGCAGCGCGGACUUCGGUCUGGCGGCGAGUGGCGAACGGGUGAGUAAUGCAUCGGAACGUACCUUUCAGUGGGGGAUAACGUAGCGAAAGUUACGCUAAUACCGCAUAUUCUGUGAGCAGGAAAGCAGGGGAUCGCAAGACCUUGCGCUGAUGGAGCGGCCGAUGUCAGAUUAGCUAGUUGGUGGGGUAAAGGCUCACCAAGGCGACGAUCUGUAGCGGGUCUUAGAGGAUGAUCCGCCACACUGGAACUGAGACACGGUCCAGACUCCUACGGGAGGCAGCAGUGGGGAAUUUUGGACAAUGGGCGCAAGCCUGAUCCAGCCAUGCCGCGUGAGUGAAGAAGGCCUUCGGGUUGUAAAGCUCUUUCGGCCGGGAAAAAAUCGCUUGGGUUAAUACCCUGAGUGGAUGAUGGUACCGGAAUAAGAAGCACCGGCUAACUACGUGCCAGCAGCCGCGGUAAUACGUAGGGUGCGAGCGUUAAUCGGAAUUACUGGGCGUAAAGCGUGCGCAGGCGGUUUUGUAAGACAGGCGUGAAAUCCCCGGGCUCAACCUGGGAACUGCGUUUGUGACUGCAAGGCUAGAGUAUGGCAGAGGGGGGUGGAAUUCCACGUGUAGCAGUGAAAUGCGUAGAGAUGUGGAGGAACACCAAUGGCGAAGGCAGCCCCCUGGGCCAAUACUGACGCUCAUGCACGAAAGCGUGGGGAGCAAACAGGAUUAGAUACCCUGGUAGUCCACGCCCUAAACGAUGUCAACUAGGUGUUGGGUGGGUAAAACCAUUUGGUACCGUAGCUAACGCGUGAAGUUGACCGCCUGGGGAGUACGGCCGCAAGGUUAAAACUCAAAGGAGUUGACGGGGACCCGCACAAGCGGUGGAUGAUGUGGAUUAAUUCGAUGCAACGCGAAAAACCUUACCUACCCUUGACAUGCCAGGAACUUGCCAGAGAUGGCUUGGUGCCCGAAAGGGAGCCUGGACGCAGGUGCUGCAUGGCUGUCGUCAGCUCGUGUCGUGAGAUGUUGGGUUAAGUCCCGCAACGAGCGCAACCCUUGUCGUUAAUUGCCAUCAUUUAGUUGGGCACUUUAACGAGACUGCCGGUGACAAACCGGAGGAAGGUGGGGAUGACGUCAAGUCCUCAUGGCCCUUAUGGGUAGGGCUUCACACGUCAUACAAUGGUCGGUACAAAGGGUCCCAAGCCGCGAGGCGGAGCCAAUCCCAGAAAGCCGAUCGUAGUCCGGAUCGCAGGCUGCAACUCGCCUGCGUGAAGUCGGAAUCGCUAGUAAUCGUGGAUCAGCAUGUCACGGUGAAUACGUUCCCGGGUCUUGU
rnacentral:rRNA from 1 species